rnacentral:rRNA from 1 species
UUGAGCAUCAAACUUUUAAAUUGAAGAGUUUGAUCAUGGCUCAGAUUGAACGCUGGCGGCAGGCCUAACACAUGCAAGUCGAACGGUAACAGGAAGAAGCUUGCUUCUUUGCUGACGAGUGGCGGACGGGUGAGUAAUGUCUGGGAAACUGCCUGAUGGAGGGGGAUAACU